GGAAUAUUGCGCAAUGGACGAAAGUCUGACGCAGCGACGCCUCGUGAGGGACGAAGGUCUUCGGAUUGUAAACCUCUUUCAGCAGGGACGAAGCGAAAGUGACGGUACCUGCAGAAGAAGCACCGGCUAACUAUGUGCCAGCAGCCGCGGUAAUACAUAGGGUGCAAGCGUUGUCCGGAUUUAUUGGGCGUAAAGAGUUCGUAGGCGGUUUCUCGCGUCGGAUGUGAAAACUCAGGGCUCAACCCUGAGCCUGCAUUCGAUACGAGGAAACUUGAGGACGGCAGGGGAGACUGGAACUCCUGGUGUAGCGGUGGAAUGCGCAGAUAUCAGGAAGAACACCAAUGGCGAAGGCAGGUCUCUGGGCCGAUUCUGACGCUGAGGAACGAAAGCGUGGGGAGCAAACAGGAUUAGAUACCCUGGUAGUCCACGCCGUAAACGAUGGACGCUAGGUGUGGGGAACAUUCCACGUUCUCUGCGCCGCAGCUAACGCAUUAAGCGUCCCGCCUGGGGAGUACGACCGCAAGGUUAAAACUCAAAGGAAUUGACGGAA
rnacentral:rRNA from 1 species